rnacentral:rRNA from 1 species
UUNAGCCGAGGACACCNCUGACAGCGGUGGCUAAUACCGGAUGUGCCGAAAGGUGAAAGAUUUAUUGCCUGAAGAUGAGCUCGCGUCUGAUUAGCUAGUUGGUGUGGUAAGAGCGCACCAAGGCGACGAUCAGUAGCUGGUCUGAGAGGAUGAUCAGCCACACUGGGACUGAGACACGGCCCAGACUCCUACGGGAGGCAGCAGUGGGGAAUUUUCCGCAAUGGGCGAAAGCCUGACGGAGCAAUACCGCGUGAGGGAGGAAGGCUCUUGGGUUGUAAACCUCUUUUCUCAGGGAAUAAAAAAAUGAAGGUACCUGAGGAAUAAGCAUCGGCUAACUCCGUGCCAGCAGCCGCGGUAAUACGGAGGAUGCAAGCGUUAUCCGGAAUGAUUGGGCGUAAAGCGUCCGCAGGUGGCACUGUAAGUCUGCUGUUAAAGAGCAAGGCUCAACCUUGUAAAGGCAGUGGAAACUACAGAGCUAGAGUACGUUCGGGGCAGAGGGAAUUCCUGGUGUAGCGGUGAAAUGCGUAGAGAUCAGGAAGAACACCGGUGGCGAAAGCGCUCUGCUAGGCCGUAACUGACACUGAGGGACGAAAGCUAGGGGAGCGAAUGGGAUUAGUCCCCCCCUAUAUAGCG